GUCACGUGGUCAAGUUUUGGUGUGCGAUGGUUUCGUGACGCCAUUUUUGGCUGAACGGAAACGCCAACGAUAAUCGACUUUUUCGAACAUUCAGGCGCAACCUCAGGCUGUGCUGCCUCAACUCUGGCAAUAGCUGAACGACCGGAAUGAGCUACCAGAUGCAGUCGGGGGCACAACCUGCUGCGCGAUCAAUGAGCCAUGGCAACUACUCCAAUCCUGGUGACGUGCCAGUCAACCCCAAAGAACAGACCAUUCUCUGGCAACAAGGAAAUUAUCUGGCAGAUUCUGGCAUUCACUCUGGUGUUACAACUCAGGCACCCUCCAUAAGUGGCAAGGAGGAUGACUUGGGUGAUGAGCAAAUGGUGUUUGACUGGGAGCAGCCUGGCUUUGGCCAAGGGUUUACGCCUGACCAAGUAGAUGAGAUGAAUCAACAGCUGAGCCAGACUCGAUCGCAGAGGGUGCGCGCCGCAAUGUUUCCCGAAACACUGGACGAAGGAAUCGAGAUACCGUCGACUCAGUAUGACCCUGCACAGCCAACUGCUGUGCAGCGUUUGUCUGAGCCGUCGCAGAUGUUGAAGCAUGCUGUCGUGAACCUCAUCAACUACCAGGAUGAUGCCGACCUGGCUACCCGAGCCAUUCCAGAGCUAAUAAAAUUGCUGAACGAUGAAGACCAAGUUGUUGUUAGUCAAGCAGCGAUGAUGGUCCACCAGCUGUCGAAGAAGGAGGCCUCUCGCCACGCUAUCAUGAAUUCUCCGCAGAUGGUAGCGGCUUUGGUAAGGGCCAUGUCCACGUCCAAUGACCUGGAGACCACUCGAUGCGCUGCAGGGACCUUGCACAACUUGUCCCAUCACCGCCAAGGUUUAUUAGCCAUCUUCAAAUCUGGAGGGAUACCUGCUCUGGUGAAAUUGCUCAGCUCACCAGUGGAGUCCGUGCUUUUUUAUGCGAUCACCACUUUGCACAACUUGUUGCUGCAUCAAGAAGGCUCAAAAAUGGCUGUUCGGCUUGCUGGUGGUCUUCAAAAAAUGGUGUCCCUUCUUCAGAGAAACAAUGUCAAGUUUUUGGCCAUUGUCACAGACUGCUUGCAGAUUCUUGCCUAUGGAAACCAAGAAAGCAAGCUGAUCAUUCUGGCCAGUGGUGGACCAGCAGAAUUGGUCCGCAUUAUGCGUUCCUACACCUAUGAAAAACUUCUUUGGACCACUUCAAGGGUGCUCAAGGUGUUGUCCGUGUGUUCUAGCAACAAGCCGGCCAUUGUUGAAGCAGGUGGAGUGCAGGCCACGUCGAUGCACCUGGGGCAUCAAAGCCAGCGGCUGGUGCUGAAUUGCCUGUGGACGUUGCGCAACCUUUCGGAUGCUGCACUCAAGCAGGAGAGCCUAGAGCCUUUGCUGGCCAGUCUGGUCCAGCUGCUGGCAAGUGGUGACAUCAACGUGGUGACUUGCGCUGCGGGCAUCCUUUCCAACUUGACCUGCAACAACCACCGCAACAAAGUGACCUUAUGUCACGUAGGGGGCAUUGAGGCCCUUGUACGCACAGUUAUCCAGGCAGGAGACAGAGAGGAGAUCACAGAGCCUGCUGUGUGUGCGUUGCGGCACUUGACAUGCAGGCACCCGGAGGCCGAGCUAGCGCAAAACUCUGUGCGGCUCAACUAUGGCCUGCAAGUGAUAGUCAAGCUUCUGCACCCUCCAAGCCGCUGGCCCCUGGUCAAGGCUGUCAUUGGGUUGAUCCGCAACUUGGCCCUGUGCCCGGCCAAUCAUGCACCGCUGCGCGAGCACGGGGCCAUUCCUCGCCUUGUCCAGCUGUUGCACAAAUCCUAUCAGGACACUCAAAGGCAACGUUCCAGUGUGGCUUCAAACGGCAGUCAGCAGGGGGCGUACUCGGAUGGUGUGCGCAUGGAAGAAAUUGUAGAAGGCACGGUUGGGGCUCUGCACAUUCUAGCGCGAGAAACGCACAACCGAGCCAUCAUCCGCGGCCUCAACGUCAUUCCAGUGUUUGUGCAGCUCCUGUACAGCGACAUCGAGAAUAUACAGCGUGUUGCCGCUGGAGUCCUGUGUGAGCUGGCAGCCGACAAAGAAGGCGCCGAGAUGAUUGAAGCAGACGGUGCUACCGCUCCACUCACGGAUCUUCUGCAUUCCAGAAAUGAGGGAGUUGCCACAUAUGCGGCUGCAGUCCUCUUCCGCAUGUCAGAAGACAAGCCACAGGACUAUAAGAAGCGGCUCUCGAUGGAGCUGACCAAUUCGCUGUUCCGCGAGGAUGCCGGACCGUGGGGAGGCACUGGGCCAGACAUGGACAUGAACCUGGAUGCCUAUCAUGAACAAAUGUACUCGGGAAGCCAAGGACCUCCUAGUGGGCGCCACAAUCCCUACUCCCAGCAGGGUGAGGCCUUUGUGCUUAGCAACAACCUUUGAGGCCACAGGAGAGCCCAAAGAGAAUACGAGCUUGGCUAGGCGCCCAUAAUUGAACGACUUUACUGCUUUUGUUCACAAGCUGAGCUUCAGUCUUCUUGUACUUAGACGGAAUGUGUGGAAACACUUAUUGCCUUCACUUGCGACAGUAGUUCUGCAGAUGUACUUGCCCUUUGUCAAAUGUGCCGAAGUUGCAUUGUGCAAAACUUGUGCUUUGAUUGCCUGUGUUUACAAGCAAGAAAAUUGGAUCAUGUAACUAAAGGCAGUUGUGCUGCUGUUUUUCUUAUGAAACAUAAGUAUGCUUGAUUUAAUAGAAUAAGUUGGUCAAAAGUAUGUAAAUUAAAAUGUGCUAUGCAUUGCAAAGCCUUUCGAAAAUCUCAUGUCAGGACAGGAGGACAUGCCAGUUAUUUGCUUGCACAUGUCAGGCUUAAAAAACUGGCUUAAUCGUUAAACUUUACCAUGACUAUUUGAUGUAAGCUUUUGUUAUUCUGAGAGGCUUCAUGAAAGAUAAAUUUAUCAAAAGUAUUUACAGCAGGCACGUUUCACAUAUAAUUUGUGAUUUUCCUUUGAGAAAGCUUUUGAGUAUGUAUGUGAAUGCUGUGUGCUCUGCAACAUUAGUUUUGUCUAAACAAAGCUUUUUAGUUCCCAUAGUGAAUAAUUUUGCUGAAAUCAAUGAGCUUGGUUUUGAGACCACAAGGUUCAGGCGGGGCUCAGCGAGCAGUAUGUUAAAUGUCAGUCUGUAAUAAGUGUGAGCGCAUCCCCAGCCAUGAACGCACUUCACGCGAAAACGCGACAAGCUUAAAUGUGCGCAGCUCAUCGCACAGUGUUUCGAAUGCGAUGUCGCAUGCGUUAAUGCUCUUAGGUCAGUGUUUGUCACCUUUUCAACUAACCAAGUUAACCACAGCUGUUUUGGUCGUAACAUCUGCGACAUGGGUCUCAAGGCCAACGAAAUCAUGUGCACAGUCGUUGUGCUUAAUGCACUUGUUUUUCCUUGGAGCUCAAAGAACUAUUGUUGAAGUGUCUGAUACUGAUCGCUUCAAAAACAUUCUUUUCCUCUGAGCUGUCCUUUAUCUGGAAGGAUCAUGCAGUGGUUAUGACAACCAAGUCCCCAUAGACUCUAUGCAAGGACUUGACUUGGGGCCAUCACAAGGUGGACAUAAUUACACCCCGAUGGACACAGG